UUGACAAUGCACUGUAGAGAAUACAUUACAGUCCUGAGCAUUAUACGGUAACAUAUGUAUAAUGUAUACUUCAAGAACACAGUCUGGAACCUGAUCACUAGAGGAGGAGGAGGGCCCCAGGCAGUGAGGCCCACCGGUGGUUUCCCUUGUACCCCUGUGGGCUAGUCCAACCCUGCCUGCAGACACUUCCGAGCCACACAGCAUACUCUGAGCUUCCAGUCUCCGCCAGUGAUUGCACCGAAUCUCUACACACGGUGCCAGUGGCUGAGGCUACCGGGUGUUUUACCGGACCCAGGACAGUCCGUUUUUUAAAUUGUGCUUGACCAGCUAUUCCAUUGAGGUCCCGGUCCUCCACCCCACAAACUGAGGGGAACGUGACUAUAAAGCUGUGCCGCCUGACUACGGGAUCCACCAACGAGACCGCUGGUGGUUUCAAUGAAGAAGCAGAUGUUACCAUGGUGAUGGUUCACAGCAACGUCCUUUAGGGGAUGACGUCAUUUUGGAACCGACACUAUUCGGGGUCUCCGGCGGGACGCUCGAACCCGGCUCUCUCACAUGGGUGCAAGUAUUUAUAAGGAUCCUGAGGUUGAUGCUAAUGUUGAAGGGAAUUACUCCACAAUGGUUGGAAAUGACGUUAAAGCCAAGCUAGUUGAGGAUUUCUUCUCUUAUCCAAAACAAAUACAGAUCCAAAACUUGCAACAAAUUUAGAGGCAAAACAAAUACAGACCCCAAACACAAAGGAGAUACAGAUCCAAAACAAAAACCCCAAACCCGAGAUUUUUGGGCUGACGCACAUCUAUACAGGAAAUACCAGUACUUGGAAACAGGAAGUUUGUGUGGUCCGCACAUCUCUAGAAACAUACAGUAUGUGGUAAUUGCUUGACAAAAAUGUGAAAUAAAGAAAAAAUUAUCAUUGCCUGAAUGGUCGGUAGAACUGUAUGCCACAUGUUGUCCCAGUGCUUGUUGAUGGCUCCAGUUGGUUAUCUGGAUUAAAACAAAUAAGCAAAAAAUUCAAUUAUAAAGAAUAAUAUUUAAUAAUAUUAAAAUUUUGAUGGCCUCAACAACACUGUGUUAAAAUGUCUGAAGGUGUCCAGGAUUCUAGAGAUUAAAUUUUUUUUAGAACACACUCAAAAAUACCAAAAGAGCAUUAAAGU